GCCAGUGUGGUGCAGUGGUUUGAGUGCUGUAUUACGACUCUAGUGACCAGGGUUUGAAUCCCUGCUUGACC